CCCCUCUUUUUAUUUUUUUUACUGUUAUGCAGUUAUCUCCCAAAACACGUUUAAAAAAAUAAUACAAUGCAGUAAUUUAUUGCAAAUUAUUUUUGCAGAUUUUGAUCUAGGGACCCCAGUUUGAGAACCACUGCCUAGAGAGCUCUUUCUCACACACAGACACACACACACACAUGUGACAUUUCUGCAUGUAUAAAGUGACAGUAAGAAUCAGAGGGCAAGAAAGCUGGGGUGAAUGUAGUGUGGAUGCUAAGGAAGUUCUGAUGGACAAAGAUGGUUUGGCAGAGGGGAAGAAGAGUGGAAUGUUUACAAUGACUUUGUUAAGUGUUUACGCGGCUAAUGGGCGGAUCAAAAUGAAGGCACUUGUAAAUAGACCCACACACAUCCAGAGCGAGAUGACCCCCCCCCCCCCCCCACACACACACACACACCGCCAGGUGGACUCCAUGGGAGGAAUCAAAGUAUCGCUCGGGGCUUUGACGUUAUCUUGCACCGUUUCCACAGUAACCACAUCCACCCCAAGACAUGGUGGGAGGGGAUUUCUUCAGCAUGUGUAGACAGCCACCUUACCUGUGGAUUCUAGAACAGUGUUUCUCAAAGCGUGAGCAGUCUCAAGAAUAAUCUCACGUGGUCCAUAGGUAACUUUUAUCUCGCUCUGCUAUAGCUAAUUAGGUUUCUCAUCUCAACCGUGACUGCCAUGGCAAUUGAAAAAUGUCCACUGUGGCCUGAACCAGAGCUGCCAGGACCGUGUAAACAUAGUGAAGUGCUAAUCCUGCCUUGAUCCGUCCGUACCAUACCUCAAUUCUAAUACUAAACCCCCAACCCAAGGGUUAUAACAUCACUUUAUCUGAACCUUCACUCCUAAUUCUAAUCCUCUUAUUUAAACCCUACCCGGCCUCGGGCCCUAAAGAUAUCCGAACCCUAAACCAAACACGAACACUGAAGUCCUAACCCUAAUCCUGAUCCUGCACAGGAGGAUUAGAACAUCAACUCACCCCAACACUCGCACUAACACUCAUUUGACCCUAACCAUACUUUUAACCCUAAACGCCAAACCCUCACCCCUUGCCCUACAAUUUUUAGAUACUGAAAAGACCACAAGCAGGUGCCAACUACAUAAACGUACAGCCACUCUUAGUGUGCAGGUGUGCUGUUUUCCACACCGUAAAUCAUCUUAUCCAUAUGCAGAGAGUUGAUGAUAUGAGCCCAGUUUAGAAGCAACACAAGUGCAGCACCGUCCAUCUUCUGGACAAUUUGUUUACUGUAAUAAUCUGCUCAGUGGCGAUAUUGCGCAACAGUCGUGUCAUGGGAAAUGACAAGUGCAAUCUGUCAUCGUGAAAUGAGAACCACUCAAUUUGUUUUGCUUGAACGAAGCAAACUUUGUAACGUUUCUAGAGCUCAUUUUGUAGAUUUUUUUUCCGCAGCUACACUGACAUUAUUUUGUACUUCUGAACCAUGUUCACGGUGGUCUCAGUGCGCACAAAUACACGACAGUAAGUUACAAGACAUUGCUACUGACAAUAGAGAUUUUGAUACCAGUCUCAAGGGUGUAGAAUAUUAUUAGCGAGCGUAUCAAAAUAGAGCGAGCUAACCAUGUGUGCUGUUGCUUUGAGUUGAAGAGCAUUUAUUUCAAUAUUUAUCUAUGUAGCGAUAUAAAGGAAGAUGAUAACCUGUGACCACAGGUCUUUGGUUUCAAUAUGUGCAAUACAGGAAAUGUGUCUGUGUUGGGAAUCAUUUACUCGUUCCAUAUGGUGGACAGAGAAUGAUUCCCAACAUACCCUGUCUUUUAUUCGCUUCUUCAACAUGAGGUCACCUCCGUCAUGUGUCAGUGUUUUUGUCGCUCCUCAUCCCGCUCCCUUUUGCGUCAAUUGUUUCGAGUGUACGUAUGUAGCAUGUUUACAUGAAGGAACGGUGUAGAACGUGGGUAGAAUACAACUGACAGAGCUGGAGGACUGUCUGACUCAGUUAGUGUGCUACGUUUCUAGAACCUUUUUGAAUGUUUGGCUUCGGCCUUUACUGUUCUCUAGUUAGAUGUGAUACCCCCCCCUCCACGAUGUGCGUGUGCGUGUAUGUGUGUGUGUGUGUGUGUGUGUGUGUGUGCGUGUGUGUGUGUGUGUGUUCUCGCCUCGUUUUUCUCCAGUUGCAUGACGAACCUUUACGGUUUAUGUCUUUUUAGCAGCAUGUGAAGGACACCUAUGGGUGCAUUUCAUAGGACCAGUUUUGCCCACCAUUCCCCAAUGGGUGAACAAAAGUAGCGAGCAACAUGAAUAUCAGUCUACUAUGAGGUUGCCUUCGAGGAACUGUAAAAAUCUGCUCUGUUGUUUUCAAGGCAACUUCUCAAAGCCAUGUUGCAGGUCUUUGUUGAUGUACAAUAAUUGUUGUGUUUGUGUUCCCUGUCCUUUUUCUUGUUGUUCUGUCUGUGAGUGAACAUUUUCUCUUUCUCUGCCUGAAUCUUUGCAG